CCUGGAAAAUCCCAUGGACAGAGGAGCCUGGUAGGCUGCAGUCCACGGGAUCGCGAAGAGUCGGACACGACUGAAGCGACUUAGCAGUAGCAGCAGCAGAUGGCUGAAAAUCAGAGCAUGUUGUGCUGGAGAUCACGGAGUUUGAACAAAAAUGAAUAAUGAACAUCUUUACGUGGAGUUCUCCCGAACCAAUUCCAAGAGGUGGACUAGAAGGCUGGAGUAUGACGGAUGACAACCACCAUCCAUUAGGAACAGGAAAACUAAU